AACGAACGCUGGCGGCAGGCUUAACACAUGCAAGUCGAACGCAUCCUUCGGGGUGAGUGGCAGACGGGUGAGUAACGCGUGGGAACGUGCCCUUCAGUUCGGGAUAACCCAGGGAAACUUGGGCUAAUACCGGAUACGUGCGAGAGCAGAAAGAUUUAUCGCUGAAGGAUCGGCCCGCGUCUGAUUAGCUAGUUGGGGGGGUAAUGGCCCACCAAGGCGACGAUCAGUGGCUGGUCUGAGAGGAUGAUCAGCCACAUUGGGACUGAGACACGGCCCAAACUCCUACGGGAGGCAGCAGUGGGGAAUAUUGGACAAUGGGCGCAAGCCUGAUCCAGCCAUGCCGCGUGAGUGAUGAAGGCCUUAGGGUUGUAAAGCUCUUUCGUCCGGGACGAUAAUGACGGUACCGGAAGAAGAAGCCCCGGCUAACUUCGUGCCAGCAGCCGCCGCGG
rnacentral:rRNA from 1 species